GGGCCCGCACAAGCGGUGGAGUAUGUGGUUUAAUUCGAUGCAACGCGAAGAACCUUACCAGGGUUUGACAUCCUGCGAAUCUCUUGGAAACGAGAGAGUGCCUUCGGGAACGCAGUGACAGGUGGUGCAUGGCUGUCGUCAGCUCGUGUCGUGAGAUGUUGGGUUAAGUCCCGCAACGAGCGCAACCCACGUCUUUAGUUGCCAGCAUUUAGUUGGGCACUCUAGAGAGACUGCCGGUGAUAAACCGGAGAAGGUGUGGAUGACGUCAAGUCAUCAUGCCCCUUACAUCUGGGCUACACACGUGCUACAAUGGCCGGUACAGAGAGCAGCCACUACGCGAGUAGGAGCGAAUCUUCAAAACCGGUCUC
rnacentral:rRNA from 1 species